rnacentral:piRNA from 1 species
AUAAAGAAAAGUAACGGUGUC